rnacentral:rRNA from 1 species
AAUAUGACUCUCGGCAACGGAUAUCUCGGCUCUCGCAUCGAUGAAGAACGUAGCGAAAUGCGAUACGUGGUGUGAAUUGCAGAAUCCCGUGAACCAUCGAGUCUUUGAACGCAAGUUGCGCCCGAGGGACCCUCCUGAGGGCACGCCUGCCUCAUGGGCGUUAGAA